rnacentral:lncRNA from 10 species
CCCCCAUACACACAUUUCCCAGUGAUCCUCACUUCUGGGGAUUCACACCCCAUGUAGCCCCUUUCCACAUGGAAUCUGGGCUGGCCUGUGUGAUGAAUAGAAUAUGAUGGAAGUGAAAGUGGUGACCUCCAAGGCGAAGUCAAAAAGGCAUUGCAGCUUCUGACAUGGCCCUUGGGUCAGCUGCUCUGCAGGAAGCCAGCUGCCAUCCCAUGAGGAUGCUCAAGUAGCCCUGUGGAGGGGCCCCAGGGACACCGGGCACGGAUCAACAGCCGGCACCAAUCUGCCAGCCAUGAGUGAGCCACCUUGGGAGGGGAACCUCCAGUCCCGGUCCAGCCUUCAGAUGACUGCAACCUCAACUGACAUCCAACUACAACUUAGUGAGUGACUUUGAGCCAGAACUGCCCAGCCAAGCUGUCCCUGAAUUCCUGACCUACAGAAAUCAUGAGAGAUCAUCAGUGGUUAUUGUGCACAGGGUCUGAGACAAUCACAGCAGAGGAGCCUGCAGACAGCAGCGCAGGUGGGAGCUCAUGGCGUGGGAAGAGGCUACACAUUUCGGUGCCUGGAUUCCAAUCUACCUCCUUCACUGACUUGCUGUGACCCAAGGCAAAGCUGAUUAGUCUCCCUGAGCCUCAGUUCCCUCAAGUGUGAAAGUCAUAAUAACUGAAUUUUCAGUGCCACCAGGAUUGGAGGCACCCAGGAUACAUCAGCGAGCAUAACAGAUCAAGAUUCCUGUUCUUGAGGGGCUCACUUUGUGGCAGGUGGGGAUGGGGAGGCAGACAAUGAUCA